rnacentral:rRNA from 1 species
GACGUAACGCUGGCGGCGUGCCUAACACAUGCAAGUCGAACGGAGAACUCAAUAAGCUUGCUUAGAGAGUUCUUAGUGGCGGACGGGUGAGUAACGCGUGGAUAACCUGCCUAGUAGACCGGGACAACCCUUGGAAACGAGGGCUAAUACCGGAUGAGCUUAAUUAGUGGCAUCACUGAUUAAGGAAAGAUGGCCUCUGAAAAUGCUAUCGUUAGUAGAUGGAUCCGCGUCUGAUUAGCUAGUUGGUGGGGUAAAGGCCUACCAAGGCGACGAUCAGUAGCCGGCCUGAGAGGGUGAACGGCCACACUGGGACUGAGGCACGGCCCAGACUCCUACGGGAGGCAGCAGUGGGGAAUCUUCCGCAAUGGACGAAAGUCUGACGGAGCAACGCCGCGUGUACGACGAAGGCCUUCGGGUUGUAAAGUACUGUCUUCAGGGACGAACGGUAUCUAUGUGAAUAAUGUGGGUGCAUGACGGUACCUGAGGAGGAAGCCCCGGCUAACUACGU